UGUGAGAACUUCUGCACUACAGAAU
rnacentral:piRNA from 1 species